rfam:Cajanus cajan CcLG02_1603, whole genome shotgun sequence.
UUUGUGGUCGAUGAUGAUGAAAUCUAAUCCCAGCUCUAUGAGACCUUCACCAUUGCAAGGUCUGUGAUUAGAUGUCUACGACAUUUCUCUGAGCCACAUU